rnacentral:rRNA from 1 species
GGGGGGGGGGUUUCAAUAAUACAUGCAAGUUGAGCGCUGAAGGUUGGUACUUGUACCGACUGGAUGAGCAGCGAACGGGUGAGUAACGCGUGGGGAAUCUGCCUUUGAGCGGGGGACAACAUUUGGAAACGAAUGCUAAUACCGCAUAAAAACUUUAAACACAAGUUUUAAGUUUGAAAGAUGCAAUUGCAUCACUCAAAGAUGAUCCCGCGUUGUAUUAGCUAGUUGGUGAGGUAAAGGCUCACCAAGGCGAUGAUACAUAGCCGACCUGAGAGGGUGAUCGGCCACAUUGGGACUGAGACACGGCCCAAACUCCUACGGGAGGCAGCAGUAGGGAAUCUUCGGCAAUGGACGAAAGUCUGACCGAGCAACGCCGCGUGAGUGAAGAAGGUUUUCGGAUCGUAAAACUCUGUUGGUAGAGAAGAACGUUGGUGAGAGUGGAAAGCUCAUCAAGUGACGGUAACUACCCAGAAAGGGACGGCUAACUACGUGCCAGCAGCCGCGGUAAUACGUAGGUCCCGAGCGUUGUCCGGAUUUAUUGGGCGUAAAGCGAGCGCAGGUGGUUUAUUAAGUCUGGUGUAAAAGGCAGUGGCUCAACCAUUGUAUGCAUUGGAAACUGGUAGACUUGAGUGCAGGAGAGGAGAGUGGAAUUCCAUGUGUAGCGGUGAAAUGCGUAGAUAUAUGGAGGAACACCGGUGGCGAAAGCGGCUCUCUGGCCUGUAACUGACACUGAGGCUCGAAAGCGUGGGGAGCAAACAGGAUUAGAUACCCUGGUAGUCCACGCCGUAAACGAUGAGUGCUAGAUGUAGCGAGCUAUAAGUUCUCUGUAUCGCAGCUAACGCAAUAAGCACUCCGCCUGGGGAGUACGACCGCCAGGUUGAAACUCAAAGGAAUUGACGGGGGGCCGCACAAGCGGUCGGAGCAUGUGGUUUAAUUCGGAGCAACGGGAAGAACCUUAACAAGGUCUUGGACAUACUCGGGCUAUUCCUAGAGAUAGGAAGGUUCCUUCGGGAACACGGGAUACAGGUUGGGGCAUGGUUUGUCGCCAGCCCCGGGUCGUGGAAAUGUUGGGGUUAAAGUUCCCGCCACCGAGGGGAACCCCCUAUUUGUUAGUUGGCAUUCCUUUAAGUUGGGGCCCCCUUAACCGGGAACUGGCCGGUGGAUAAACCCGGAGGAAAGGUGGGGGAUUGAGGUCCAAACCAAUCAAGGGCCCCUUUUAGGACCUGGGGCCAACCCCCGGGGGUCCAAAUGGGACUGGUUCAAACGGGGGGCCCGGGAAAAAAUUUAGGGUUUUUGGGGGAAUUUCUUUUAAAAACC